GAGAUUUUUCUUAAAUUCAAACUGUGCACAAAACAUUUCAGAUGCAUUCAAACUCUGAACUGGAACAUGUUAAUUUACUGUUGUGGAACUAAUAUGAAAACAAUAUUGUUGACAGUAUAGUAGUGUACCACCAAAGAAUUUAUGCUGGGAGAAGAAGCAAAGCUUCGAUGACACCACAAAGCCAAAUGAUAACUGGCUUAAUUUUUACUCUUUUUAUGCAUAAAAUGUCAUAGUUGUUAGUAUCUCAUUAAAAUGUAUUUUCUAAUAAUAUAAUGAUUUGCAAAUGAUGGAAAUUUACUUGUCAUUAAAACAUUUUGUUCUAAACAUGCUUCAGCUUAUCAAAGAAGUUAAAGCUAUUCCAACCUAUCCCCCAUAUUAAAGUUUUUUUUGAUUAAAUCAGGUUCAUGUCUAAUGCAUCAAAAAUAUAAAUAAACUUUCUUUAGUAUUUGUCAAACAUCAGUUCUCAUGGCCUUAAAUUGGAUGCAAGAUUUAUUUCACAAAGUUAUGUUUUCACUUAUGGGGCAAAACUUUUAAAUUUGUUAUUUGAAUCUGUUACAUUAGUCUUUAUUUUAAAGAAUAUAUUGUAUGUCAUAUGGCCAUGAAGGCAACCUGGUUAAAGUAGAAAUGAAAUCAAACUUUCUAAUUAAUGUGAUUUGAAGCCAUUGUGUUAUACUUCGAGGAAUAUGUUAUAUGGUAAAUAUGUGUGCUCAUGUUUUUCCUGGAAAGGGCAUAACAUUUUUUUUACAGAAAUAAGUUACCAACCUAAAUCUAUUGUCAUGGCAAUUAAAUUUUUCUGAAAGAGCAGGAUUAUUUAUAAGCCAAGUGCUAAACCUUUGUAUUGUUACCCUGAUCAUGAAAUUUUAAAUGGUGAUUUAAUUUCUUUUUUCAGGUUGAACUGCCCUUCAAUGAAAGCUUUUGCUCGAUGUGUGGCCUGUAAUAGCAAUAAAUGGGACUUUUGUGAACUGAAAUCUGUUAGGCUUUCCAAAAUCCAGAAAGCUGAUUAGGUGUGCAGAAGCAGCAGACUUGUAAAUGUGAAGGAGCUAUUUGCUUAGUUAUGCAGUAGAAUUCACCACCCUGCGGCAAGCUUCAUUAAAGCUGUGAACAGCCAAGCUAACCAUCUUCAGGGCAAGUAGCUGCAUCAAGCAAACCCAGUGACAUUCCAAAGAGGAAUGUCAGUCAAAAUAAAAACUUAAUACCUAAAUCUCGGAAAAUCAGACAAUUAAGCCACAAAUCUUGUGACCAAUUUUUCAGUUGCUGUGCUUAGUGCGAUAAAGUUAUAUGGCAAUAAACUGAAAAGCUAUGGCAGGUAUUCUAUUGUACCCUUUAAUGAAAUCAAUUUAAAGCAAGCUUAUCAUAUGAUAAGCAAAAUGAUUGUAUCAUUGGAUGGUAAUGAUUGCAUUGCUGGGUAUGCAGGCUAUGGUUCUACAAUGAGCCAAAUGUAAUAUCUCAGUAUGCUGUGACUAUUAAAAUUAUAAAUUAUGUAUUAUUACUUCAUAUUGGUCAUUAUGUUCCAAAAUAAAUGCUCUUUUUAUAUAGAACUAUAUAAAUGUAGAAAAUCUGAGAAGUUAAUUUUAUAUGGAAAGCCUUCGUGCAAAAUUAAUAGCAUCUUGUUAAUUUCAUAUAUGUUUUGUGAAAGUAAUUGCUGCUGAAUCUAGAAUUAAUGCAUUAUCUGAGAUUUGAGACAAAAUUUGUCAAAUUAGAAGAUAGUGAAAUAGAUAAAUAGGAAAUGAAACAUGAAAUUUAUAUAUUUAAUAUUGAAAUAAAUAUCUCAGUAAAGUGGCUGUAUGUAAAGUAUAAUGAUGCAAUUUUUAUAAUUUUUUACUAAAAUGCUAAAAUUAUGUGCUAUGAAAAUUUUAUUUUCAUUAAUAUUUAUAAUUUUUUCCUCGCAAAUUUUUAUCCAAGGUGUAUAUGUUUUAGCUAUUUUAGAUUUUUCUGUUUUAAUGUUAAAAAUAUCUUCUUUAUCAGCAUUACAUUAAAAUCCAUCUCAUAAUCAUUUGAAAAUGAAGGAAAUUUCAUUCUUUUCAAUAGUUUAAGAAUAUUUUCAUAAAACAUAAUUAUAGAAAAAAUGAACUGAUACAUUUUUAGUUAUAUAUAUGUAAAGAAAAUUUUUUAGAAGGAUCCUUUUUUCCAUACCAGAAACAUUUCAUGAGCUGUAAUAUGUAAUAUUAGUUGGCCUAAUAUGUAAAAGGAAUGUUUAAUCAAAUUAUUUUUAUUAUGCUUUUAUAAAUAUCACUAUAAUUUUAAGAGUUAUUGAAUUUAAAAGUGAAAGAAAAAGCUACAGUUAUUUCAAGACUCUUUAAUAAAACAAUUCUUUAUUCUUGUAUUCUCGUAUGAAAAUUUUCUGUAUAUUUAACAUAAAAUUGUAUGCAUGUAAAUAAAUUUUUUAAUUUAUUAUUAUCAUUC